CCUAACCUUGUGAUCCACCCACCUUGGCCUCCCAAAGUGUUGGGAUUAUAGGCAUGAGCCACUGCACCCGGCCUCAACUAGUCUUUCUUACAGCACACUUCAUUUAUAUAAACCAAUUCAAUUUACUUGGCAAGAAACAGGCAGAGAACAAGAACAAAGUAUUUCAAAAGAUCUGGUGAUUCUGCCUACCGUUCCUAUUUACUAAGUGCACAUCUGAGAGUGUAAAGGUGGAAAGACUUAAUUCUGCCAUUCUCUUAGUAGGUGUUAGUUUCAGCCUGGCCCUCAUAGGGUGAACACUUCAUCAUGUAGAACAGGAGUCUGGUUACAGUCAGGUAAAAGCCCACUGCAAUGCACUAAGUGGGGUCCAAAUAUUCAAUUGUUUAAAUUGCAAGGUGAAGUUAUUGAAAAGUAGCCUCUUCUAGAUAGUAUGGGGGAAAACAUUUGUUUUGUUAGAUGAUUUAUUUAACUAGAAACAGGCCAAUUAUUACACGCAAAAUGUACACUGAAUUUUAAAAGUCCCAAAUGAUGACAAGUCAGUUCACAAACCAAUCCCUCUAUCAUCCUCCAUCUCAUACUCCCCAACUACACAAGAUAAGAGCCUUAGCUUGUUUCCAUUGAGAAGCAGGGCUAAGAACGGGCUGGAGCCAAUCACAUAUAUCCAAAUUUGUACUAUUUGUAGGGCUUUAUUAUUCUUUUUUAUUUCAUGUAACACCUAUAAAUAUAAGUCAGCUUUUUCAACUAGCAUUCAAUAGAACAGAGAUGUGUUCCAAUGUUGGAAGGAAAAACUGGCCAAGUUCAAUGUAAAGGGAAUUGUACUAUUUUAGCAAUUUAAAGGAUUUCCUAGGCCAAUUUUUGACUACAUGUGGCUGACAAUGAUGACUAAGCUUCAACUUAACACACACCUCCUCUAUACUGUAAUACAUAAAGUGAUGUGCCUGGAAACAUAAGGUGUGGUAGAGGUUGAGAGCAGAGAUUACUUUCUGUUGGGAAGAAUUCACUUUUUCUAUUUUAUGGAACAGGAGGAAGUUCAGCUGGAUUGGAAAGAAUAGGUAGCAUCAGGUCUUAAACUGGAGGACUGGAGAAAAGAGCUGCACUGCAGACAAGAGAACACAAGUCAGAUUGCUAGAGGCCACGUGGAAGAACGAGAAAUAAGGCUGGAAAAGUAGGGCAGAGUUAGGAUUUUUUUUUUUUUUUUGAGACGGAGUUUCGCUGUUGUUGCCCAGGCUGGAGUGUAAUAGAGUGAUCUCGGAUCACUGCAACCUCCACCUCCCGGGUUCAAGCCAUUCUUCUGUCUCAGACUCCUGAGUAGCUGGGAUUACAGGUGUGUGCCAUCACACCAGGCUAAUUUUUGUAUUUUUAGUAGAGAUGGGGUUUCACCAUGUUGGCCAGGCUGGUCUCGAACUCCUGACCUUGUGAUCCGCCGGCCUCAGCCUCCCAAAGUGCUGGGAUUACAGGUGUGAGCCACUGCGCCCGGCCCUCACCGUUUUUUUUUUUGUUUGUUUUUGUUUUUGAGAUGGAGUUUCGCUCUUGUUGCCUAGGCUGGAAUGCAAUGGCGCAACCUGGGCUCACUGCAACGUCCGCCUCCCGGAUUCAAGGGAUUCUCCUGCCUCAGCCUCCCGAAUAGCUGGGAUUAUAGGUGGCUAAUUUUUUGUAUUUUUUUUUAGUAGAGAUGGGGUUUCACCAUUUUGGUCAGGCUGGUCUCCACAGUUAGGAUUUUUAAAAAUAGCUUUAUUGAGUAGAGUCAAAAAUUAUCCUAGAAAAUCCUUUCUAGCCAUACAAUUCACUAAUUUCAAGUAUACAAAUCAAUGGUUUUUAGUAUAUUCACAGAGUCGUGCAGCCAUCACCACUGUAAGUUUUAGAACAUUUUCAUCAUCCCCAGACUCUUUAACCAUUACCAAUCACUCUCCAUUUCUCCUUCCUCCCAGCCCUAGGCAACCACUAAGCUACUUUCUGUCUCUCUGGAUUUGCCUAUUCUGGACAUUUCAUAUAAAUGGAAUCAUAAAGCAUGUAUGACUGGCUUCUUUUUCCUAGCAUAAUGUUUUCAAGGUUCAUCCAUGUUGCAGCAUGUAUCAAUAUUUCAUUCCUUUUUAUGGCUCAAUCAUAUUCCCUUCAAGGGAUAUUCCACAUUUUAUCUAUUCAACAGCUGAUGGAUAUUUGGGUUGCUUCUACUUUUUGGUUAUUAUGAAUAAUGUUGCUAUGAACAUUUAUGCACAAGUUUCUGUGUGAGCAUAUGUUUUCAUCUCUCUUGGGAUUACACCUAGGAGUGGAAUUGUUAGGUCCUAUGGAAACUCUUAUAUUUAAUCACUUGAGGAACUAACUACCAGACUCUUCCAAAAUGGCUGAACCAUUUUAUAUUCCCACCAGCAGUGUAUGAGGAUUCCAAUUUUUCCACACCCUCCUGACACUUGUCAUUAUCUUUUUUUUAUUACAGUCAUCGUAAUUGGUGUGAAAUGGUAUCAUGGUGAUAGAUUUAGGGUUAGGAUUUUAGAAAAUUCUUAAAUAUCAAACUAAGGAACCAUGAAGGUUUUCAAUCAACGCAACUUUACGAUCAGAGAUGUUUCAAUAAGAUUUAUGUGGCUGGGUGCGGUGGCUCUCGCCUGAAAUCCCAACACUUCAGGACGCAGAGGCGGGCGGAUCACAAGGUCAGGAGUUCGAGACCAGCCUGGCCAACAUGAUGAAACCCCAUCUCUACUAAAAAUACAAAAAAUUAGCUGGGCGCAGCGUCAGGCACCUGUAAUCCCAGCUACUCGGGAGGCUGAGAACGGAGAAUCGCUUGAACCCGGGAGGCGGAGGUUGUCGUGAGCCGAGACGAUGCCAUUAUACUCCAGCCUGGCGACAGAGCGAGACCCCAUCUCAAAAAAAAAAAAAAAAAGAUUGAUGAAAACUCAAGGAAGAGAAACUGCUGCCAUCCCACUACCAGCCUGAGGAUAAUAACAAGGAGAAUCAGUAAGAAGCACAACCAUACCAUGACUAUCUGUGUCUAGAACCAUCCAAUUUCCGUUAUGUGACAUAAUCAGUUUCCUUAUUAUUCAAACCAAUAUAAGCUGAAGUUUUAUGUUACUUAUAGAGAUACAGUAGCUAAGAAUACUAUGUAAGAAGAGGUAGAUUAUACACACACACAGAUAACGAUGUUCAUAACACAUUAGUGGGAAAAAAGUUAUAAAGCCAUGACUAGUUUAACUAUUUUGUUUUAAAAUUAUAUAUAUAUAAUUAAUACAAAAUUCGAAGAACAUAUAAAAUCUGCUAGUUGUUCAUUGCUUCCAUGAUAGCAUUACUAGGAUCUUUAACUUUCUAUAUUUUUCUGUUUGAAUUUUUACUACAAACAUUUAUAUACAUUAUUUUGUAAUAAAUAAGAUAAAAAGAAUAAAAUAGGUAAAUUCCUUUCUAUUAACUAAUUUCUAGCAUCACUGACAUUGAUGUACUCUCAUUUUGUAAGUUUCCAUAAUAAAGCUAUUUGAAUUCUACGGUUAUUGGCUAAUUUUUUCAAAGUUAAGGAAUAUAUGCACAGUCAAUAGGGCUCAGAAUAAAUAAAUGGCUCCCCUGUGAACAAACUUAAAAAGUGACUACAGCAAUGUUACAGGCCAGCCUUCAUGACACUGUGCUCCAACUAUUUGUCCAAAUUAUUUGACUCCACUGGAAUUCAUUACAUCAAAUAUUAAUUGAAGUAAACAGGCCAUUUUGAGUGCCUACUACGUGCCAGACACUGUAUCAGACACCUGAGGGUAGUUCAUAGUAAACACUCAUGGUUUAAAUACACUGUCAUCAAAAUAGUGUUUGUUUAAAUAGAUUUAAUUUUUUGAACUGCUAGUCUCUUCAUCUAAAAAAGAGACACUGUACAACUCCUCCUAGUGGCUAAAGGUAUUUUACAAAAUUCUAAUAUAAAUGUUUUCCUUCCCCACUGAAUAUUAAAACAAAUGCCUCUUUGCCACUAAAUUUUUUGCCCACAUUUAUACUAAAUUAUCUACUUUUUAUAUGAGUAAAUCUUUGGUCACUCACUAUAUUUUCACUCUUAGUGUCCACAGUGGUUGCUUCAAUAUAAAAUCUAUUUCAAUACAAAGAUGACAAAAAGAGGCCUAUUAUCUUUGUCUACACAAAUAGGUCUUAUUGAAUGUUUUCACCUCGGCUAGAUCACUACUCUUGGCAAGAUUUUUGUUUAGUACUAUUCAGGAAUCUAUUUAGUUCACCAAAAGUGAUCAACUUCUAACUUAAACAUUCAAAUAACAGCAUAAAAGAACUGAUAUGUCAAAAAACAAGUUUCAAUGAACUAUAUGGGUGUAUAGUAGUCAGAUUAUUACUUUCCUUUAUAAGAAAGUCUGCAAAUGAAAAAAAAAAUAAUUUUAAUGCCAAUGCAAUAACUGAAUUAAAUUAGUACAAACUGAGUAUAUUAUUUAAUAAGUAUACCAAUAAGAAGCUGGCAGAAUAUUUUAAGAAACCAAAUGACCUUGUCUACUUCCAAGUUUCUUUAUAAUAGUAUUCUUUUGUUUUGUUUUCCUGGAGUAACUUAACAUUUACUGUAAGGAGAAAUCCUGUUAAAAUAGUGUCUUUUAGUUAUGUAUAAAAUCCCAAUAGUAUCAGAAUUGAUCCUUAACUUGUAGGAUGUAGUUCCUAUACAGUUCACAAGCUCAAAGCUUUGUUGUUCUCUGUCGUCACAUGACUAUCAUGUGUUCAACAUAAGUUUUCUACAAACAUGCAAAUAAAUACAUUAAAAACUAGUAUAUAAACUUAUUUCACUUAAAAAUAUUAUACAACAUUUAUAUUGAUUCAACACUAAUUGAGAUAUCAUGCCAAUUCAAAAUUAGCCUGUUCACACUGAACAUCUGAAUUAUUCACAUUUUAAUAAUACUAAAAGGGCUGUCUUUAAGUUAAAAAAAAUACACACAAAACUCUACUGUGUUUUACAUAUUAAAAUACAGGAUGAAUGAUAAAAAUAUUUAAAGCUCUAAAAUCUUCAGUUGACACUUCAAGGUAUUUUAAAUACUUUUUAUUAAUUAGAACUACAGCAUAAGAACUUCAAAUUGAAAUUUUAAUUUCUGUUCUAAAUUAUUAUUGAGUAGGAAAAAGCAUGUACUAUUCAUGUAUUUUGUACAAUCUCCUUGAAUAAUAAUAGAAUUCUUUGAAAUUAAAGUUGUGACUCAGGAAGUCCUAGCUAGAGCAAUCAGAUGAGAGAAAAAAAUAAAGGGCAUCCAAAUUGGAAAGAAAGAAGUCAAAUUAUCCUUGUUUGCAGAUGAUAUAAUCGUGUAUUUGGAAAAACCUAAAGACUACCAAAAACUAUUAGAACUGAUAAACAAAUUGAAUAAAGUUGCAGGAUACAAAAUCAACAUACAAAAAUCAGUAGCAUUUCUAUAUGCCAACAGCAAAUAAUCUGAAAAAGAAAUAAAAAAGUAAUCCCAUUUAUAACAGCUACAAAUAAAAUUAAAUAUCUAUGAAUUAACUUCACCAAAGAAGUGAAAUAUAUCUACAAUGAAAACUAUAAAACACUGAUGAAAGAAAUUGAAGAGGACACAAAAAAUGGAAAGAUAUUUCAUGUUUGUGAACUGGAAGAAUCAAUAUUGUUAAAAUGUCCAUACUACCCAAAGCAAUCCACAGAUUCAAUGCAAUCCCUAUCAAAAUACCAACACUAUUCUUCACAUAAAUAGAAGAAACAAUCCUAAAAUUUAUAUGGAACCACAAAGACCCAGAAUAGCCAAAGCUAUCCUGAGCAAAAAGAACAGAACUGGAAGAAUCACAUUACUUGACUCAAAUUAUACUACAGAGCUACUGUAACCAAAACAGCAAGGUACUGGCAUAAAAACAGGCACAUAGACCAAUAGAACAAAUAGAGAACCCAGAAGUAAAUCCAUACAUCUACAGUGAGCUCAUUUCAUCAAAGAUGCCAAGAACAUACACCGGGGAAAGAGCAGUCUCUUCCAUAAGUGGUGGCAGGAAAACUGGAUAUCCAUACGCAGAAGAAUGAAACUAGACCCCUAACUCUCGCCAUAUACAAAAAUCAAACCAAGAUGGAUUAAAGACUUAAAUUUAAGACCACAAACUAUGAAACUACUAAAAGGAAACAUUGGGGAAACUUUCCAGGACACUGGAUUGGGCUAAGAUUUCUUGAAUAAUACCCCACAAGCACAGGCAACCAAAGCAUAAAUGGACAAAUGGAAUCACAUCAAGUUAAAAAGCUUCUGUACAGCAAAAGAAACAAUCAAGAAAGUGAAGAGACAACCCACAGAAUGGAAGAAAAUAUUUCCAAUCUAUCUAUCUAACAAAGGGUUAAUAACCAGACUAUAUAGAGAGCUCAAACAACUCUACAGGGAAAAAAAACCCCUAAUAAUCCAAUUUACAAAUGGGCAAAAGAUCUGAAUAGACAUUUCUCAAAAAAAGACAUACAAGUGGUAAACAGGUAUAUGAAAAGGUGCUCAAUAUCACUGGUCGUCAGAGAAAUGCAAAUCAAUACUACAAUGAGAUUAUCAUCUCACCCCAGUUAAAAUGGCUUUUAUCCAAAAGGCAGGCAAUAACAAAUGCUGGCGAGGAUGUGGAGAAAGGGAACUCUCACAUACUGUUGGUGGGAAUGUAAAUCAGUACAACCAUUAUGGAGAUCAGUUCUCAAAAAAACAAAAACAGAUCUACCAUAUGAUCCAGCAAUCACAUUGCUAGGUAUAUACCCAAAAGAAAGGAAAUCAGUAUAUUGAAGAGAUAGCUGGACUCCCAUGUUUAUUGCAUCACUAAUCACAAUAGCCAAGAUUUGGAAGCAACCUAAGUGUCUAUCAACAGACUAAUGGAUUAAAAAAAAAAAGUGAUACAUACAUGCAGUGGAGUACCACUUGGCCAUUAAAAAAAGAAUGAGUUCCUGCCAUUUGCAACAAUGUGGACAGAACUGGAGGUCAUUAUGUUAAAUGAAAUAAGCCAGGAACAGAAAGGCAAACUUCGCAUGUUCUCACUUAUUUGUGGUAGUUAAAAAAACAAUUGAACUCAUGGAGAUAGAGAGUAGAAGGAUGGUUACCACAGGCUGGGAAGGGUAGUAGUGGGGGUGGGGGGUGCAGAGAAUGUGAUUAAUGGGCAUGAAAAAGAUAGAAUGAGUAAGAUCUAGUAUUUGAUAGCAAAACAGGGUGACUAUAGUCAAUAAUAAUUUAACUGUACAUUUAAAAAUAACUAAGAGUAUAAUUGGAUUGCUUGUACAACCAUACAUACAAAAGAUAAAUGCUUGAUGUGAAUACCCUGAUGUGAUUAUUAUGCAUUGUGUGUCUGUAUCAAAAUAUCUCAUGUACUCCAGAAAUGUAUAUAUCUACUAUGUAGACACAAAAAAAUAAAAAUUAAAAAAUAAA